CAGGGCUAUUCACUUGUGUGAUCUGUCAUGAAUUGUCAUUUGAAUGUUAUUUUGAACUGUGGGGCACAAGAACUUGAAUCUGACAAAAUGGCUGCCAUAUACACGUCCACUGAUAGGAGACGCAGAAGGUAUUAAACUGAUCAGAACAAUACUAAACACACCACUCCUUUUUUUUGGUGAGGCUUUACAGGACAGAGUGCUUCUCCACGGGACAUGUUAACUCACGGGCAGCUGGCUCAUCAAGGAACCAGAGCAGCUUUCCAUGUACAGGUAAGACACGUGCAGCCGGUAAGGGUUCAGGCUCUUCUUCCUGGAGGAUACACUGCAAGCCUGUUGAACGAGG